AAAGUCGUAACAAGGUUUCCGUAGGUGAACCUGCGGAAGGAUCAUUGCUGAUGCCGGCGGCGUGCCGAGAGCCCCUAAAAAAGGCCUGAGGCCGCCGCUUCCAACAUCAUCUGCCCCUUCAGUGAACCCGGCGUCGGGACGAGCGUGAGCUUUGGGGCCCACGCAUACCAAAUCGUCUCUUCGCCCAACCCAACCUGUCUUUUAUUGCCUGUCUCCCCAGACUGAAGCAAAAAAAAACAAAAACAUAUCUUACAACUUUUAACAAUGGAUAUCUUGGCUCGC
rnacentral:misc_RNA from 1 species